CCAUAGCGACUAUCGUGGCAUAUCAAUAAGCGGAGGAAAAGAAACUAACAAGGAUUCCCUUAGUAACGGCGAGUGAAGCGGGAAGAGCUCAAAUUUGAAAUCUUCAAGGUUCUACCUUGACGAAUUGUAGUUUAAAGAAGUGUUUUCUGUUGGAGUUUUGGUAAAAGUUCCUUGGAAUAGGACAUCAUAGAGGGUGAGAAUCCCGUAUUUGACCAUUAUUUCCAACUUUGUGAUACACUUUCAAAGAGUCGGAUUGUUUGGGAAUGCAGUCCAAAAUGGGUGGUAAAUUUCAUCUAAAGCUAAAUAUUGGCGAGAGACCGAUAGCGAACAAGUACCGUGAGGGAAAGAUGAAAAGAACUUUGAAAAGAGAGUUAAACAGUACGUGAAAUUGUCAAAAGGGAAGCGUUUGACACCAGUGUUGUUUAGUUGAAAAUCAAUUCAAUAAUUUUUGAUUUUAAGUAGUAUUGACUUCAUCGGCUUGCUGCUUUCUUUUCAGGAAUUAUUGAAUGCACUUUUCAGUUAACAAGUCAACAUCAAUUUCUUUUGUUGUAAAAGGGUAAGAGGAAGGUGGCUUACGCUUCGGCGUAAGUGUUUAUAGCCUUUUACCUCUGCAAUCGGAGAGAUUGAGGACAGCAGCGUAGACUCCUUCGGGGGUUAGAUACACUUGUGCUAAGCUAUAGCCUUGUAUAGACAACUUGUUGACUAUGCUCAGUCAUGUAGCUUACUCGCUUGUGCUAUUUUACCUACGCUUAGGAUGUUGACGCGCGUGUGUGCGUG
rnacentral:rRNA from 1 species